CACAACGCUGCGCCUUGCUCAGUCUUUCAUCAGACGCUGACCAGAGAACCCCCUGCUCGUGUGUUACAAGAGCUUACGCAUGGAAAUUGGUUUCCUCUAUGGAUACAAUUGUUGCUGGAUACUGAAGUGCCGAGUGCCCGUGGAAGCCUCAGGAAACCCCGUAGCCUUGUUAGCACAUUGUGCCCUGUAUCGGUCAGGUUUUAUGUUGGGAUCAAAGUCCGAAUCGCAGACGUGCAGAGGACGAACAGAUGAAGAUUCCUAGUACUGGAUGGCGAGCCCCAGCCCAAGAGUCAAAUGAACUGGUAGAUUGUAGCCCGACAGGUUAUAAAAUACACUGAACACUGAGCGAACCUAAAGAAGCAAGAAAAGAGUAAAGGACUAUACCGGAGUAUAUUUUAUUUCAUGUGGAUAUAUUUUAUUUUAUUUUUUUUUAUUCUUUUUUUUCAAAGAGCGCUCUCAAUUAAUUUUGUACUGCCAUUUUAGUUCAAUUGAGUUCAUGGACAUUAAAUUUUGUAUACAUAGUUUUCCAGUUAAACAAAGUGUUGUUAUGUCUUAUGUUGAUACACCCCUAGGCUCUUUCAAAUCUAUAAUCUUCGGAUCAGGCCAUUUCCUCUUUCUCUGCUGAUACAUACAUUGGAGAUAAAUAUACUUCCAUUUCCAAAUACUGACACAAAGGUCAAACUAUAUGGAUUUCAUUCAUAUGUUUUUACGUCAGACAUGCUUGAACCCUCGUGCGCAUGCGUGAGUUUUUCCACGCCUGUCGGUGACGUCAUUCGCCUGUGAGC